UGGGGAAUAUUGCACAAUGGGGGAAACCCUGAUGCAGCGACGCCGCGUGAGCGAUGAAGGCUUUCGAGUCGUAAAGCUCUGUUCUAUGGGAAGAUAAUGACGGUACCAUAGAAGAAAGCCCCGGCUAAUUACGUGCCAGCAGCCGCGGUAAUACGUAAGGGGCGAGCGUUGUCCGGAAUUAUUGGGCGUAAAGAGUGCGUAGGCGGCAAAUUAAGUCAGAUGUGAAAACUAAGGGCUCAACCCAUAGAUUGCAUCUGAAACUGAUAUGCUUGAGUCAAGGAGAGGAAAGUGGAAUUCCUAGUGUAGCGGUGGAAUGCGUAGAUAUUAGGAGGAAUACCGGUGGCGAAGGCGACUUUCUGGACUUGAACUGACGCUGAGGCACGAAAGCGUGGGGAGCAAACAGG
rnacentral:rRNA from 1 species